rnacentral:rRNA from 1 species
UACGUAGGGGGCAAGCGUUAUCCGGAUUUACUGGGUGUAAAGGGAGCGUAGACGGCGAUGCAAGUCUGAAGUGAAAGGCGGGGGCCCAACCCCCGGAUUGCUUUGGAAACUGUAUGGCUGGAGUGCAGGAGAGGUAAGUGGAAUUCCUAGUGUAGCGGUGAAAUGCGUAGAUAUUAGGAGGAACACCAGUGGCGAAGGCGGCUUACUGGACUGUAACUGACGUUGAGGCUCGAAAGCGUGGGGAGCAAACAGG